rnacentral:rRNA from 1 species
UGGGGAAUAUUGGACAAUGGACGCAAGUCUGAUCCAGCAAUGCCGCGUGUGUGAAGAAGGCCUGAGGGUUGUAAAGCACUUUCAAUUGUGAAGAAGAGUUUGUAUCUAAUAGGUAUAAGCUUUGACGUUAACUUUAGAAGAAGCACCGGCUAACUCCGUGCCAGCAGCCGCGGUAAUACGGAGGGUGCAAGCGUUAAUCGGAAUUACUGGGCGUAAAGCGCGCGUAGGCGGUUAGUUAAGUCAGAUGUGAAAGCCCCGGGCUCAACCUGGGAAUUGCCUCUGAUACUGGCUAACUAGAGUUUGGAAGAGGGGAGUAGAAUUUCAGGUGUAGCGGUGAAAUGCAUAGAGAUCUGAAGGAAUACCAGUGGCGAAGGCGACUCCCUGGUCCAGAACUGACGCUGAGGUGCGAAAGCGUGGGUAGCAAACG